UACGUAGGUGGCAAGCGUUGUCCGGAUUUACUGGGCGUAAAGAGCGCGCAGGCGGCUGGGCAAGUCCGAUGUGAAAGCUUCCGGCUUAACUGGAAAAUUGCAUCGGAAACUGCUCGGCUUGAAGGUGGGAGAGGGUAGCGGAAUUCCAGGUGUAGCGGUGAAAUGCGUAGAUAUCUGGAGGAACACCGGUGGCGAAGGCGGCAUCCUGGACCGGCAUUGACGCUGAGGCGCGAAAGCCAGGGGAGCAAACGGG
rnacentral:rRNA from 1 species